rnacentral:lncRNA from 1 species
AGCACUGCCUGGCCUUUAAGGUGCUCUGCGGGUGAUCCCAUCUUGCACUCUGCCAGGGUCUUUCUUGUUCCAUUUCUGCCUGAUUUUCAAUAAGAUUAUAUUCUUAGGAGGACUAGAAAAGGAGGAGGAAGAGGAAGAGUAGGAGGAAGAAGAGGAAGAAGAGGAAAAAGAGGAGGACACAGCUGGGAGAACAAGAAAUUAUUUAAACGGUUGUGUGUAUCUGUGCAUGUUAGUACAGGUGUCAGUGGAGACCAGAAGAGCACACUGGAUCUCUUGGAGCAGGAGUUACAGAUGGUUGUGAACUUUAAAUUCAACUGAAGUCCUUUGGAAGAACAGAGCAUGCUCCUGGCUACCUAGCCAUCUUUCUACCCCUGAGACGAGUGCUUUCUUGAAAACAACUUCUACUGGACAUAAGGCCUCCUCUGUCAGUCCUCAAGAACCUGACCAGAGCUGCACCCCUGUGCCUGUCAUUAGGGAGCUUGCUUAGCAGCAGAGGAAUCCUAGUCCUUCACACCUCUGGUGUGAAGUCCUACUGUGCCAAGUGGGCUUCCUAGGAGCAGUUUCUAGCCAAGUCUCCAUAUGCUUGGUGGGCGGGUGUGGAAACCCGGGUAAGGCUUGGCAGGAGAUCUGCAGAGGGAGCUGUUACAACCCAAACAGUCACUGUGUGCACAAUGCUUCACUCACACGUCUCUUCCAUAUGCCUGGAACCAGUUACUGGAAACUGCAAGACUCUGUGCAACCCCUCAAAAUGACAGAGAAAGUGCCUGGGACUCACGGGACAACUUGGUCUAAUGUCUCCUAGGCAUCCUAAAAGCCACUGAGUAUUUAAAUUAUCAUACAGAGGGAAAUAUACCCAGGUCAGUCCUUCCACUAUUGGACUGAAAUAAAGAUUUUUGGUUGCCCGACUUCUUAGCAUUCAGGACUUGCUCUGGAUGUGACAACUCUCUUUCCUUCUGAUGAGUUUCCAGUCCAACGUCAGAUGCGGUCUGGAAGGAAGCAUUUCUCACAAGCCAAGUGUGAGGACACGUGCUCCGUGCGAGCCACAGCCUUUGGACUCCAUUCUGGACUUUGACUGCUGCGUGGAGUAAGGCUGGAACUAGAGAGAUGUCACUGUGCUGACUCACACUGCACAUGCUCCCAGACAGUGAGCGGGAUCCCCACUGAGGAGUGCAAGGCUCAAGCUGAUAGAACCUGGCCACUGGCUCUGCAGUGGAAGAGAAGGUAGCAAGGACAACCACAGGAGCCCCCCUCCCCAGUUCUUCGGGGUCUGCCUCUCUCUCCCCUCCCUGCUGUGGACCACCUCUGUUGCCUGCUGCCAAGGAGCCCUCCUGCCAGCCCAGCUUUCUUUGCUCCAUCCUCCAGAGCCCUAGAUUCCUGGGUCUCACCCACAGUAGAUGCUGGGCCAGAUUUUCCCUGCCUCUGUUGACUUCCGUCCCUGGGCACUCUGUGCAGCUACGUGUGAAUGGAUGAGUGUAAGAGAGAGGACCCAGGAGGCAAAGAGAGAAAUGAGCGUAUGAAGGGCCGAGUGCUUAGCUGAUGAACACUGAACUUCUGAGACUUAAAAUAUUCCAGAAUGUUCUCCCCUUCAGCUGGACGAUGUUACUAUAGGAUCUUUAGACCCUUUGAGAAAAUGAGAAUAUUCCUAUUGUGAACCUA